UGCCAAGUGUAUCGGCUAACCUAGCACACGGGGGCCGGGCAACUCCUUAUGUUGGUUGCACCGAGGCAAUAGGGCCAGAACCUGCUUUUUUAACGUUGGCGUGGCCUCAGCGUGAAGGCGGCUCCCCCUAAGCCCGAGGCAAAAAGAAAAUGACACUGAAGUUCCGGGAUCGGAUGUCGGCCUCCCAGAAUUUUACUUUGCAAACUUCGCAGUGUCUCAGGCUGAGUUAUUCCUGGGAAAAUCUGCACAGACCCCCCUCGAAGCACCGUGAACAAGCCCAGCCCACGCCCAGCGCGCUUCGCGGCCCCCGCGCGCGUCCUGCUCGCUUCCCGCCGUGUGUAUUAUGACUGAGCUCAGCCGAGUGAGAUUUUCUGUAGCUAUGCUCAAGUUACGUUAGAGGCAUACACCCGCAGAGAAGAAAUUAAAAAAUUUGAACUGG